AGAAAAGGAGGGAAAUGGAGAAAAUGGAUGAAGAUUUUAUUUAUUUGUUUGCUUAUUUAUUUAUUUAUUUAUUUAU
rnacentral:ribozyme from 12 species